rnacentral:pre_miRNA from 1 species
UGAUGAUGAUGAUGAUGAUGAUGAUGAUGAUGAUAAUCACCAUCACCAUCAGCGCUUCAA